CUUUUCUUUCAGCACUUAAACAUGAUUAUGAAUAUGAAAUAGAAAUUGCACGUGUCCUUAAUCCUGAAAUUUCUGAGUUAGUGAUGCAAGGGCAUUUUUGCACUCAGUCAUCUUGGUUCAACACUCAGGAUUUUGAUCAUUGAACAGAUGGCUGUUUCACCACACUAGCAAACGAACGAGUGAAGAUUUGUCCAUUCAAGACGCCACUUUCACCAGAUGAAAGAUCAAGAAGAAGUAAAGAGUGCACAGACUGGAGGUCCGAGGCAGAUUCAGGCUCAGAUUCAGACAGAGGCCUGGAUGUUGAGGCCAGUGAUGCAGUUAUCACAAUUUCACCACCUGUCUGAAUAUAAGCACUGACUGUGCAGCUACAAACUGAAAG